GAUGAACGCUGGCGGCGUGCCUAACACAUGCAAGUCGAGCGAUCUUCUUCGGAAGAGAGCGGCGGACGGGUGAGUAACGCGUGGGUAACCUGCCCUGUACACACGGAUAACAUACCGAGAGGUAUGCUAAUACGAGAUAAUAUGCUUUUAUCGCAUGGUAGAAGUAUCAAAGCUUUUGUGGUACAGGAUGGACCCGCGUCUGAUUAGCUAGUUGGUAAGGUAACGGCUUACCAAGGCGACGAUCAGUAGCCGACCUGAGAGGGUGAUCGGCCACAUUGGAACUGAGACACGGUCCAAACUCCUACGGGAGGCAGCAGUGGGGAAUAUUGCACAAUGGGCGAAAGCCUGAUGCAGCAACGCCGCGUGAGCGAUGAAGGCCUUCGGGUCGUAAAGCUCUGUCCUCAAGGAAGAUAAUGACGGUACUUGAGGAGGAAGCCCCGGCUAACUACGUGCCAGCAGCCGCCGUAACAC
rnacentral:rRNA from 1 species